UGAGGAAUUUUGGUCAAUGGACGGAAGUCUGAACCAGCCAAGUCGCGUGAAGGAAGGCGGCCCUAAGGGUUGUAAACUUCUUUUGUAAGGGAAUAAAGUGCGUUACGUGUAGUGCAUUGCAAGUACCUUACGAAUAAGGAUCGGCUAACUCCGUGCCAGCAGCCGCGGUAAUACGGAGGAUCCGAGCGUUAUCCGGAUUUAUUGGGUUUAAAGGGUGCGCAGGCGGGGGAUUAGGUCGGCGGUGAAAUAUCAGGGCUCAACCUUGAGAGUGCCGUCGAAACCGGUUUUCUUGAGUGCGGAUGAAGUAGGCGGAAUUUGUGGUGUAGCGGUGAAAUGCGUAGAUAUCACAAAGAACACCGAUUGCGGAGGCAGCUUACCAAGCUAUUAUUGACGCUGAGGCACGAAAGCGUGGGGAUCGAACAGG
rnacentral:rRNA from 2 species